CGCCGUUUCCCUCAUUUUUCCCCCGCGUGCCAUUCCUCUUCUCCUCCGCCGAACUCACCCCGUGCCCUAACCUCCUAGCGCCGGCGGUUUCCUUCUCCUCUGUCCCUGCCCAAGCGCCGGCGAGCACGAGCCACCGCCGGCCGAGCCACUCCUCAGCCCUAGCGCCGCUGCCUCCCUCUCCCCUCCAGCGACGCUGACUUGACCGGUCGGCACCACCCGAUUUCCGACAGCCAUCUUCCUCUUGUGCCCUAGCCGCCAGCCACCCGAGCGCCACAACCGACGCCCUCUCCGAUCUCCUCACGGCACCACCUUUUCCUCUGCCCUAGUUCCUCAGCCGCCGUCUAUGUGAGGUCUCCAGUCGAUGGUCUUCUUCCACGCCAAAGGACCCUAGAUUUUCACCAAAUCCAGAGAAGGUGAGGAGGAGUGUCUUUCAACAGCCACCCAUUUUUCCGGCAGCCACCUUCUAGCGGUGAACAACCCUAUUGGGCAGCAACUCUUGGAUUCCAGCAGCGAGAACGGUUGUGGAACUUGAGAUUCAAUUCGACGGUGAUGUAUCUGGUUUUCAGCGGCUGCCCCUGUUCCGACAGCAACUACCUGUUGUGGAUCAAUAGAGGAGACUUUGGUGUUAAGGAUUUUGACGCGAGACGAGUAUCUCGACGUUGGAUUUAGAUCGGAUACGAUACUUUCUUUUGAAGGCGGCUACUUUGACUUUAUGUCAUUUGAUAUGCAUAAUAAUGUCUUUAACAAAUAGCAACGAUUGUGUUUUCUUAUUUGCUUUGGUUGAUCACUACAUGAUCUGUUACAUGCUUGUUUGUUUAUUUUCUAUGCACCUCAUGUUAAUAUUUACCUGAUUAUGCAUAUUUAUAGAGGCAGUGACACAACCCUGUUAUUUAUC